rnacentral:rRNA from 1 species
AAAUAAUCUAACCCUAAGCCUCUCCCUGCCCCAUCUCGUUCUCCCUCCGCCGCCGCCCCCAUAAUCUUCUUCCUCUCCCCGAUCCACUCCUUUGGGUCCUCCGCACACCCACCGCUCCGAUCGGCUCUCCUACACACCAUCGUCCCAAUCCCCACCUCCUUGUCCCAAUCCCCACGUCCCCGGCCUCUCCAAUCCUUCCUCCACUCUCAGUUCGACGGCGCCAGCAGCCUGAGUGAUGAGAUCCGCUUCUUGGGCGCGCGCAGAUCCAGCAUGGGCUCAACCCCCGAUGUUGGCCUUGUCGGAGCAGGGCGACCGUGUGGUCGCCGGUCUAGACAAUGGCUCGCGGGAUUCCGGUGUGGCUCCCGUCCCUUCUGUUGGCUUCCUCGACACCAUGGCCUCAUGAUGCUGCUUCGACCACAGGGUACCCAAUAGAGACAGAAGGCACAUGUUUGUCAACCAGCUGCACUAUGAUAUGUGGGCUUCUAUCUAGAUCUAAUUUAGUUUAGUUUUCUACCAAGAUCUAAUUUAGAUUAAUUUUCUACCAAGAUCUAAUUCUGUUUAAAUUUUUCUAACAGUUUGAUGUAUCUUUGUUCUCUAAAUAAAUAUAAUUAGCUGUUCUAUAUGCAUUCAGUUUAGUUUUCUAUCAAAAUAUAAUUCUGUAUGAAUCAAUGUAAUCAAGUGGUGAAUAAUUUCAUCAAAUAGAGACAUGAUUUCUGUUACUGUAUUAAUAUGGCGACAUGUUCUUUUUAAAGUUUUCUCCACACACUUCUGUCCAUAUUGGCAACUGCAGCUCACUGAAUACAUAUUACGAGAAUUAUGUUUAAUCUAAAUAUAAGAAGAAAAUUACAUCGGUACAAUGUGGCAGUCCUACAGUUAUAAUAUAGAGAUUUAAACCUAUUCAUUUUUGUACUAAUUACAUGUAGUCCUGCCAUCGUUAGUUGUGCGCCUACUAGUACUAGAACCAAUGCCACGUUAGUUCACUCUCCCUCAACUGGAGGCACACAGCAAGCUAGCAGUUGCUAAAACAGUGAGACACAUUUCUUCUUCAACUCGUGUGCUCCCUGCCUCCAAGCCUGGCCGCCCUCUGCAAUAGUUUUGUCGACAAGUAGUGAUGUCUACUGUCUGAUCCUAAAUCUUUUCCCUGAUGUUUUCCCAUCUUUUUCUUGAUUAUGAUCUCUGUUUUUUGGGAUGUAGGUUUAGGUGGUGCUGUAGCAGCCGUGCCGCUGCAUGGCGCACAAUAGAGCUCGAGAGGGUGACCGCGAUAAAUUUGGUGGAGCUGCUCCGUGAUGAACCAGGGGUUGGUUCUCUACUACCAGUCCUAUCAUUUCUCCGUGAUGAACCAGGGGUAUGAUUAGGUAGCGGGCUUCUUGGUGCUGGCCAUCACAAUCCGCCAUGACAUGAUCCUUACCAUCAGGAGGGCUGACGACAAAAACUUGAAUAACAACCUUAGUAGUAUCAUAUGUUCUAUCGUUGUAAAUUGGAUUAUACUGGUUCCUAGUGUUGUUCUGGGAUAUUUUGUGAAUAUAUUCUGUAAGUUAUCAUUACAUGCAGGAUUUUGUAAGCUGAUGCGGUGUAGAUACCAAUGGAUAGCUGCAUAUUGAAUAUCCGUGUAAUAUAUGAUCAUACUUUGGAAAUAUUUCGCUUUGGC